GGAGAGACUACAGGAUUCCCCUAGUAACGGCGAGUGAAGCGGGAACAGCUCAAAUUUGAAAUCUCACUGUUUCGCAGUGCGAAUUGUAGUUUAGAGAAACGUUUUCUAGGCAGACUUCUAGUACAAGUUCUUUGGAACGAGACAUCACAGAGGGUGAAAAUCCCGUCUAUGACUAGAGGCUCUGUCUUUUAUGAUACGUUUUCCAAGAGUCGGUUUGUUUGGGAAUGCAGACCAAAAUGGGUGGUAAAUACCAUCUAAAGCUAAAUAUUGGCGAGAGACCGAUAGCGAACAAGUACCGUGAGGGAAAGAUGAAAAGAACUUUGAAAAGAGAGUUAAACAGUACGUGAAAUUGUCAAAAGGGAAACGCUUGAAACCAGUAUUGUGGGCAGAAAUUCAGCUUUAGUUUACUAGGGUGUAUUUUUCUGUCUGCGAGUCAACAUCAGUUUUGCUCCAAGUAAAAAGCUAUGGGAAGGUAGCCUUCGGGUAUUAUAGCCUAUAGUCAUGCUUGGGUCGAGACUGAGGACUGCAGCGUUUUUUGGGCACCCCGUCGCCUUUUGAAGUAGCAAAGUUAAAUGCAUGCAGAUGACUUUGUCUAUCAGGAAGCCCGGCGGGUUCGCUACACCAACGCUUAGGAUGUUGACGAAAUGGUUUUAAACGACCCGUCUUGAAACACGGACCAAGGAGUCUAACAUAUAUGCGAGUAUUUGGGUGGUAAACCCUUAUGCGUAGUGAAAGCGAAAAGGUGGGAUUCUUUAUUGAUGCACCAUCGGCCGCGCCAGAUUAUUACUAUCUCGGCGUGAGUAUGAGCAUACAUGUUGGGACCCGAAAGAUGGUGAACUAUGCCUGAAUAGGGUGAAGCCAGAGGAAACUCUGGUGGAGGCUCGUAGCGGUUCUGACGUGCAAAUCGAUCGUCGAAUUUGGGUAUAGGGGCGAAAGACAAUCAACCU
rnacentral:rRNA from 1 species